rnacentral:piRNA from 1 species
UAGGUCGUUGAUCUUAAUGCUGGACUCCACU